rnacentral:misc_RNA from 1 species
CAGAGUUCUUGCCCAGCAGGGUAGAUCUCCCACCCUAUGUUAAUAUACGUUUGUUGCUUUGGCAAGCCUGAUAGGCCUCGGUCUAACCACCGGCUUUUGCUGGUGAGCGCUUGCCAGAGAACCCCAAAACUCUGAAUGUUAGUAUUGUCUAAGCACUAUAUAAAUAGUUA